ACACAUUCCUUCUCUUGUACGAAGACAAAAAACCUCAUAAAAAUAAUUUGCCUGUCGACAUAAAUUGAACUUCUUAUGUAUAUUACAGUAUAAAUUUUUCUGAGCAUCUUCAAGAUUGGAAAACUAAGAUGAAGAAUAUCGCAAUUUUUCUUGCUGUAGUCAUGUUAGUUCUUAGCCAGGACAUUUCUCCAGUUGAAUGUCGGACAUUGAAGAUCAGUUCACCAAUACGGUUAAGCACACAGCCACCAUUCUACGCAUGGGAACGGAAAAAGCGCAGUGGGGAAACUGAUGUAAAUUUGCAGAUAAAAGAAAGAGAGAACACGGUCAUUGGACAAGCAAAAGGUUAAGAAGUAUCACUGAACAAUCGGAUUCACAAUGUUAUGGCGGGUUUCGGAAUUAAACAUAAAUUGCAUAAACAAA